rnacentral:rRNA from 1 species
UAGAGUUUGAUCCUGGCUCAGGAUGAACGCUAGCGGCAGGCUUAAUACAUGCAAGUCAAGGGGGUAGCAAUACAACCGGCGCACGGGUGAGUAACGCGUACACAACAUGCCAUAUACUGGGGUAUAGCUUCGGGAAACUGAAGGUAAUCCCCCAUAACAUUGCGAAUAGGCAUCUAAUUGCAAUUAAAGUUCCGACGGUAUAUGAUUGGUGUGCGUUUGAUUAGGUAGUUGGCGGGGUAACGGCCCACCAAGCCGACGAUCAAUAGCUGGCGUGAGAGCGCGACCAGCCACACUGGAACUGAGACACGGUCCAGACUCCUACGGGAGGCAGCAGUAGGGAAUAUUGGACAAUGGGCGAAAGCCUGAUCCAGCCAUGCCGCGUGAUAGAUGAAGGCCCUCUGGGUUGUAAAUAUCUUUUAUCUGGGAAGAAACUAAGCUAUUCUUAGAGGCCUGACGGUACCAGAGGAAUAAGCACUAGCGGACUCCGUGCCAGCAGCCGCGGUAAUA